AUCAAGGCAGAGGUGGUGGCCGGGGGCGAAGCACUUGGGCCGCCGAGGGAUGCAGCGCGAUCGUGAGGCUGACAGCGCUUGCUAGGAGACGGGGAGGUCAAGGGUGACUCCUAGGGCUCUGCGCUGAGCACCUGGCAGGUUGGAAGUGCCGUGUGCACAAACAGGGAAGGCUGUGGGAGAAGCUGAUUUCCUAGCCGGGGAGAGAGGAUGCCUGGAAUGAGAGACCUCGCUCGUUUGGGACUUAACGUCUGAGAUGCCAACUCGACAUUCAAGUGGAAAAGCCCUAUCAGAGGUGGACAGGCCAGUCUGGAGUUCAGGGGUGAAGCCCAGGAGUCCGGUGACGACGGCACGAGACGGUGAGGACGUUGAUAGGAGAAAAGUAAGUGAGGAGCCCAAGGUCUUACAGUCUUAGGCCAACAUUCAGAACUAAGCAACUUCCUCGGGACCAUACCAGGGAUCGAGAGGCCUGAAGGCCAAGUCCACCUGCCAAUUAAUUCUGCAUGACCCGCAAGCUAAGAACAGUCUUUACAGAUGCACAUCCACCGUCUAUUUGAUGACGAGGAGCAUUUGAACCCCAAUCCAACAAAACAUUAUCUUCCCAAAGAGUUCCAUUCUUUUCAUUGAAGAUCUGUAUUAGAACAAAUUAUAAUCAAUUAUUACUAUAUUUUGUAUUUCAUCCAUUAAAAAUUUAUGAAAAUCAA